GAUGAACGCUGGCGGCGUGCCUAAUACAUGCAAGUCGAGCGAAUGGAUUAAGAGCUUGCUCUUAUGAAGUUAGCGGCGGACGGGUGAGUAACACGUGGGUAACCUGCCCAUAAGACUGGGAUAACUCCGGGAAACCGGGGCUAAUACCGGAUAACAUUUUGAACCGCAUGGUUCGAAAUUGAAGGCGGCUUCGGCUGUCACUUAUGGAUGGACCCGCGUCGCAUUAGCUAGUGGGUGAGGUAACGGCUCACCAAGGCAACGAUGCGUAGCCGACCUGAGAGGGUGAUCGGCCACACUGGGACUGAGACACGGCCCAGACUCCUACGGGAGGCAGCAGUAGGGAAUCUUCCGCAAUGGACGAAAGUCUGACGGAGCAACGCCGCGUGAGUGAUGAAGGCUUUCGGGUCGUAAAACUCUGUUGUUAGGGAAGAACAAGUGCUAGUUGAAUAAGCUGGCACCUUGACGGUACCUAGCCAGAAAGCCACGGCUAACUACGUGCCAGCCGCCGCCGUAA
rnacentral:rRNA from 1 species